GCAUCAAAGGACAAAGGCAAGCUAUCAAGAAGACGGCCAAAGAAAGUUGGCUCAUACCUCCCCCUAUGAGAAAGAGACUUCUCCAAUGCGUGAACAGAGACAAGCAAGCUUAUGGCAUCCUCAAUUAUUUCAGAAUCAGGUGGAUCCAAUACCUUAUGCAGCAAGACUUUUGGAUCAUUGAUGGCUUUGGACUCGGCACAACAGAUCAUGAGCACAUGUUGCCUCAAAGAUAAUCUCAGUAUUGCUGGAUAUUCAUGAUCACGAAGAUUAUUGUAAAAGUUUCCCAUGAUCAAACGAUAAAUCUGCCCAUCGCAUG
rnacentral:misc_RNA from 1 species